rnacentral:rRNA from 1 species
GACGAACGCUGGCGGCGUGGAUUAGGCAUGCAAGUCGAACGGUAUCAUCCUUUCGGGGGUGAGAGAGUGGCGAACUGGUGAGUAACACGUAGGUUAUCUACCCUCAAGACGGGGACAACCCAGGGAAACUUGGGCUAAUACCGGAUGUGAGCAACUUUUAGUUGUUUGAAAGGUGGCGUAAGCUGUCGCUUGGGGAUGAGCCUGCGUCCUAUUAGUUAGUUGGUGAGGUAACGGCUCACCUAGGCAAUGAUAGGUAGGCGGCCUUAACGGGUGGUCGCCCACACUGGGAUUGAGAUACGGCCCAGACUCCUACGGGAGGCAGCAGUCGAGAAUAGUCUACAAUGGUCGGAAGACUGAUAGUGCGACGCCGCGUGAACGAUGAAUCCCUUCGGGGUGUAAAGUUCUUUUAUAUGUGAGCAGUGCUUCUUAUAUUAACAGUAUGGGGAGAGAGAUAUUAGCAUAUGAAUAAGCAACGGCUAACUCCGUGCCAGCGCCGCGGUAAAAUCACG